CGCGGGUCCAAGCCUGUGUCGCCCCAAAUCGGAUAAUCUCUGCACCUGAUAACAAGCAAAAGAGAAGCCAGGCAACAGCCAUAUUACAGAAGAAAACAAUCAACGCUGAGG
rnacentral:lncRNA from 1 species